AGGUGAUCCAACCGCAGGUUCCCCUACGGUUACCUUGUUACGACUUCACCCCAGUCAUGAAUCACAAAGUGGUAAGCGCCCUCCCGAAGGUUAAGCUACCUACUUCUUUUGCAACCCACUCCCAUGGUGUGACGGGCGGUGUGUACAAGGCCCGGGAACGUAUUCACCGUGGCAUUCUGAUCCACGAUUACUAGCGAUUCCGACUUCAUGGAGUCGAGUUGCAGACUCCAAUCCGGACUACGACGCACUUUAUGAGGUCCGCUUGCUCUCGCGAGGUCGCUUCUCUUUGUAUGCGCCAUUGUAGCACGUGUGUAGCCCUGGUCGUAAGGGCCGAUGAUGACUUGACGUCAUCCCACCUUCUCCAGUCUAUCACUGGCAGUCUCCUUUGAGUUCCCGGCCGGACCGCUGGCAACAAAGGAUAAGGGUUGCGCUCGUUGCGGGACUUAACCCAACAUUUCACAACACGAGCUGACGACAGCCAUGCAGCACCUGUCUCACGGUUCCCGAAGGCACAUUCUCAUCUCUGAAAACUUCCGUGGAUGUCAAGACCAGGUAAGGUUCUUCGCGUUGCAUCGAAUUAAACCACAUGCUCCACCGCUUGUGCGGGCCCCCGUCAAUUCAUUUGAGUUUUAACCUUGCGGCCGUACUCCCCAGGCGGUCGACUUAACGCGUUAGCUCCGGAAGCCACACCUCAAGGGCACAACCUCCAAGUCGACAUCGUUUACAGCGUGGACUACCAGGGUAUCUAAUCCUGUUUGCUCCCCACGCUUUCGCACCUGAGCGUCAGUCUUCGUCCAGGGGGCCGCCUUCGCCACCGGUAUUCCUCCAGAUCUCUACGCAUUUCACCGCUACACCUGGAAUUCUACCCCCCUCUACGAGACUCAAGCUUGCCAGUAUCAGAUGCAGUUCCCAGGUUGAGCCCGGGGAUUUCACAUCUGACUUAACAAACCGCCUGCGUGCGCUUUACGCCCAGUAAUUCCGAUUAACGCUUGCACCCUCCGUAUUACCGCGGCUGCUGGCACGGAGUUAGCCGGUGCUUCUUCUGCGGGUAACGUCAAUGAGCAAAGGUAUUAACUUUACUCCCUUCCUCCCCGCUGAAAGUACUUUACAACCCGAAGGCCUUCUUCAUACACGCGGCAUGGCUGCAUCAGGCUUGCGCCCAUUGUGCAAUAUUCCCCACUGCUGCCUCCCGUAGGAGUCUGGACCGUGUCUCAGUUCCAGUGUGGCUGGUCAUCCUCUCAGACCAGCUAGGGAUCGUCGCCUAGGUGAGCCGUUACCCCACCUACUAGCUAAUCCCAUCUGGGCACAUCCGAUGGCAAGAGGCCCGAAGGUCCCCCUCUUUGGUCUUGCGACGUUAUGCGGUAUUAGCUACCGUUUCCAGUAGUUAUCCCCCUCCAUCAGGCAGUUUCCCAGACAUUACUCACCCGUCCGCCACUCGUCAGCGAAACAGCAAGCUGUUUCCUGUUACCGUUCGACUUGCAUGUGUUAGGCCUGCCGCCAGCGUUCAAUCUGAGCCAUGAUCAAACUCU
rnacentral:rRNA from 1 species